rnacentral:rRNA from 1 species
AGCGAACGCUGGCGGCAGGCCUAACACAUGCAAGUCGAACGAACCUUUCGGGGUUAGUGGCGGACGGGUGAGUAACACGUGGGAACGUGCCUUUAGGUUCGGAAUAACUCAGGGAAACUUGUGCUAAUACCGAAUGUGCCCUUCGGGGGAAAGAUUAAUCGCCUUUAGAGCGGCCCGCGUCUGAUUAGCUAGAUGGUUGAGGUAAUGGCUCACCAAGGCGACGAUCAGUAGCUGGUCUGAGAGGAUGAUCAGCCACAUUGGGACUGAGACACGGCCCAAACUCCUACGGGAGGCAGCAGUGGGGAAUCUUGCGCAAUGGGCGAAAGCCUGACGCAGCCAUGCCGCGUGAAUGAUGAAGGUCUUAGGAUUGUAAAAUUCUUUCACCGGGGACGAUAAUGACGGUACCCGGAGAAGAAGCCCCGGCUAACUUCGUG